CUACAAAACAAUGGUCUCCUUGGUUAAUGUGUGGCCUUCUAGUAAACGGUUGUUAGAAAGGACUUAAGCUGUUUUUAAUUAUAUUACCACUGUGCAGUAAUUUGACUUCAGCUGAGGACCACUUCAACUACCACUGAUGCUGAAGCCCCAACACCUGCUUCCUGUACCUUCUUCAGCCAGAACAGGCCAGCUUCAAACUCACAGAGAUCCACAUAGCUCUGCUUCCUAAGUGCUGGGAUUAAAGAGAGUUGACAGAAGAAACUUAAAGAAAGACAGCCAUGCUUUGGCUUAUGACUUCACAGGAUUUUAGUCCAUCAUAGUGCUACAAGCAUAAUUGAAAAGCAGCGUAGAGAAGUGAAGGCAUAAUCCUGGGAAAUGAACUUCUAAGAAGCAGACAUCCAUUUCCUGAAAGUGUCUACCCUGGGGAGUCCCUGAAGAGAGGAUAAAAUGGAGAUUAGAAAUACAAGCCUCAUGCUUGAAAGGAAUAGGGGACACAGCUGCUGACUUCAGCCCGCUCUUUCUUUUCAUGCUUCUUUGUUUGAUCUAAUUGUCUCAUUUCAAUUCUCUUUCAACACCACAAGAAGCAAGACUGCUGAUAGGGUCAGAUUAUGCUAGACACCACCCAUGACCAGAAGACCCUGUGAUGGGGUAGAAACACAGUGUUUACAGAAAGAAAAUAAAAGACUGUUUAUUCUUGACCAAAUAAUGAGUAAAC